rnacentral:rRNA from 1 species
GUAGGUGGCAAGCGUUGUCCGGAAUUAUUGGGCGUAAAGCGCGCGCAGGCGGGUCCUUUAAGUCUGAUGUGAAAGCCCACGGGCCCAACCGUGGAGGGUCAUUGGAAACUGGGGGACUUGAGUACAGAAGAGGAAAGCGGAAUUCCAAGUGUAGCGGUGAAAUGCGUAGAGAUUUGGAGGAACACCAGUGGCGAAGGCGGCUUUCUGGUCUGUAACUGACGCUGAGGCGCGAAAGCGUGGGGAGCAAACAGGAUUAGAUACCCUGGUAGUCCACGCCGUAAACGAUGAGUGCUAAGUGUUAGGGGGUUUCCGCCCCUUAGUGCUGCAGCUAACGCAUUAAGCACUCCGCCUGGGGAGUACGGCCGCAAAGGCUGA